AGAGUUUGAUCAUGGCUCAGAUUGAACGCUGGCGGCAGGCUUAACACAUGCAAGUCGAACGGUAACAGAACUAGCUUGCUAGUUGCUGACGAGUGGCGGACGGGUGAGUAACGCGUAGGAAUCUACCGAAUAGUGGGGGACAACAGUUGGAAACGGCUGCUAAUACCGCAUACGCCCUACGGGGGAAAGGAGGGGAUCUUCGGACCUUUCGCUAUUUGAUGANCCUGCGUGAGAUUAGUUAGUUGGUGGGGUAAUGGCUCACCAAGGCGACGAUCUCUAGCUGGUCUGAGAGGAUGAUCANCCACACUGGGACUGAGACACGGCCCAGACUCCUACGGNAGCCACCAGUGGGGAAUAUUGCACAAUGGGGGAAACCCUGAUGCAGCCAUGCCGCGUGUGUGAAGAAGNCCUUCGGGUUGUAAAGCACUUUCAGUUGUGAGGAAAGGUUAAGGGUUAAUA
rnacentral:rRNA from 1 species